rnacentral:rRNA from 1 species
UCUACGCGUGGCAGCAGUAGGGAAUUUUCGGCAAUGGGGGGAACCCUGACCGAGCAACGCCGCGUGAACGAAGAAGUUAUUCGUAAUGUAAAGUUCUUUUAACAGGGAAGAAAGAGAAAUUUGACGGUACCUGAAGAAUGAGCUCCGGCUAACUACGUGCCAGCAGCCGCGGUAAUACGUAGGGAGCGAGCGUUAUCCGGAAUUAUUGGGCGUAAAGGGUGCGUAGAUGGCAUAGUAAAUCUUUUAUAACAAAGCUGGGCUCAACCCAGUAGGGCAAAAGAUACUGCAAAGCUAGAGUAUGACAGAGGAAAGUGGAACUACAUGUGUAGCGGUAAAAUGCGUAAAUAUAUGUGAGAGCACCAGUGGCGAAGGCGACUUGCUGGGUCGAUACUGACAUUGAGGCACGAAGGCGUGGGGAGCAAACAGGAUUUGAUACCCUUGUAGUC